AGCAAAAUCGAGGAUGAACAAGCUGUGGGUCUGCAAUUUCAGAAGAAGAUCAAGGAGCUGCAGGCUCGUAUUGAGGAACUGGAGGAGGAAAUUGAGGCCGAGAGAACCUCUCGCGCUAAAGCAGAGAAGCAUCGGGCUGACCUGUCCAGGGAGCUCGAGGAGAUCAGCGAGCGCCUGGAAGAAGCAGGAGGGGCCACGACAGCUCAGAUUGAAAUGAACAAGAAGCGUGAGGCAGAGUUCCAGAAGAUGCGCCGUGACCUCGAAGAGGCCACGCUGCAGCACAAGGCCACGGCUGCCGCCCUGCGCAAGAAGCACGCGGACAGCACCGCUGAGCUCGGGGAGCAGAUCGACAACCUGCAACGCGUCAAGCAGAAACUGGAGAAAGAGAAGAGUGAGAUGAAGAUGGAGAUUGAUGACCUGGCCAGUAACAUGGAGUCUGUCUCCAAAGCCAAGGCAAACCUGGAGAAGAUGUGCCGCACACUGGAAGAUCAGCUGAGUGAGCUCAAGACAAAGGAAGAAGAGCAUCAGCGCAUGAUCAAUGACCUCAAUACUCAGAGAGCUCGUCUGCAGACAGAGUCAGGUGAAUAUUCACGCCAGGUGGAGGAGAAGGAUGCUUUGGUUUCUCAGCUGUCACGAGGCAAACAGGCUUUCACCCAACAGAUUGAGGAACUCAAGAGGCACUUAGAGGAAGAGAUAAAGGCCAAGAAUGCCCUGGCCCACGCCUUGCAGUCUGCUCGCCACGACUGCGACCUGCUCCGGGAGCAAUAUGAGGAGGAGCAGGAAGCCAAGGGGGAGCUGCAGCGAGCCCUGUCCAAGGCCAACAGCGAAGUGGCUCAGUGGAGAACCAAAUACGAGACGGACGCGAUUCAGCGCACGGAGGAGCUGGAGGAAGCCAAGAAGAAGCUGGCCCAGCGCCUGCAGGAUGCAGAGGAACAUGUGGAAGCUAUCACUGCCAAAUGUGCCUCCCUGGAAAAGACCAAGCAGAGGCUGCAGAAUGAAGUGGAGGACCUGAUGAUUGAUGUGGAGAGAUCCAAUGCUGCCUGUGCUGCUCUGGAUAAGAAGCAGAAGAACUUUGACAAGAUCCUGGCAGAAUGGAAGCAGAAGUAUGAGGAAACUCAGGCCGAGCUGGAAGCCUCCCAGAAGGAGUCUCGCUCCCUCAGCACGGAGCUGUUCAAGAUGAAGAAUGCCUAUGAGGAGUCCUUGGACCACCUGGAAACAAUGAAGCGCGAGAACAAGAACUUGCAGCAGGAGAUUUCUGACCUCACGGAGCAGAUUGCUGAGAGCGGAAAGGCAAUUCAUGAGCUGGAGAAAGUCAAGAAGCAAAUUGAGCAGGAGAAAUCUGAACUGCAAGCCUCCCUCGAGGAAGCUGAGGCCUCCCUGGAGCAUGAAGAGGGAAAGAUCCUGCGCCUGCAGCUUGAGCUCAACCAGGUCAAGUCUGAGAUUGACAGGAAGAUAGCAGAGAAAGAUGAGGAGAUUGAUGGGCUUAAGAGAAACGACCUCCGAGUUGUGGAGUCCAUGCAAAGCACCCUGGAUGCUGAGAUCAGGAGCAGGAACGAAGCCCUGAGACUCAAGAAGAAGAUGGAGGGAGACCUGAAUGAAAUGGAGAUUCAGCUCAGCCAUGCCAACCGUGUGGCUGCAGAGGCACAAAAGAAACUGAGAAACACACAACCUGAGAAACACACAGGGAGUGCUGAAGGACACUCAGCUGCACUUGGACGAUGCUCUGAGGACUCAGGAAGACCUGAAGGAGCAGGUGGCCAUGGUGGAGCGCAGAGCAAACCUGCUGCAGGCUGAGGUUGAGGAGCUAAGGGCAGCCCUGGAGCAGACAGAGAGGUCGAGGAAAGUGGCUGAGCAGGAGCUUCUGGAUGCCAGUGAGAGAGUUCAGCUCAG